rnacentral:rRNA from 1 species
CUGCUGCCUUCCGUAGGAGUUUGGGCCGUGUCUCAGUCCCAAUGUGGCCGUUCACCCUCUCAGGCCGGCUACUGAUCGUCGCCUUGGUGGGCUUCUACCCCGCCAACUAGCUAAUCAGACGCGGAUCCAUCUUACACCACCGGAGUUUUUCACACUGAGCCAUGCGGCUCUGUGCGCUUAUGCGGUAUUAGCACCUAUUUCUAAGUGUUAUCCCCCAGUGCAAGGCAGGUUAUCCACGCGUUACUCACCCG